ensembl:lncRNA
AAUCUGCUACAUAUCUUAACCUAACCCUAACCCUACCUUCAUACAAAUUCAGUUCAAAUUCAAAAAUUAAAUUAGGUUACACUUUAUUUUAAGGUGUCCUUGUUACAUUGUAAUUAUACUUACUAUAUGGUUAAGUUUAGGAUUUGGAUUUGGUUUAGGGUUACUUGCAUGUAAUUAUGCAUAAUUUAUUGUUUUUAUAAUUGUAAGUACAUGUAACGUGUAACGAGGGCACCAUAAAAUACAUUGAAAUACAUUCAAUUUAAAAUUGAGUACUGAAUGGUACUUAACCUCGGAUCGCAGACUCCAUAGAGAUAGUAGUCUGUCUGUGGUACAGGUAACUGGUGUUUGUUCUCUUUCCAGCCUGUCAUGAAAUUAUGUAAGUGGCCACAAUAGAAUUUGAGAAAGUCAGGCAGGCAUGUGUAGCAGACAGAUGCGUGGAAGGCCCUAGAGGGUCAGCUUUGUGUCAGCUGUGACAGUCACACUGAAAAAGACUACAGAGGCACCUGAGAAAUAAGAGCUGCCAUUCAAACCCAACCUGUCGCUGUGAGCUACAGAGAAAACUGCUCGGAGGACCCCUUCCCCCUCGAUCCAGACUUAAUAUUUCACUAAAUCCUCAUAUUCGGCAUUAGUUUAAGAAAGUACAGAUAAGCCUAAUUUCGGAAACCAUGAAUGGUGUGAAAUCCUUCUCAUUUCCUGGGUCAUUUGCUGGGCCAGUGUUUAGCAUUAGAACAUGCACCUCAUUAUUAUAUAAAACCUCAGCGAGAUACUCUGCUUACCGCUUCUCAUUUGCCUUUGCCGCUAACUUAAAUCAUACUUUACCCAUUUUCACUUUUUAAGUAGCGUCUACGAAGAAAAAAAGCCUAGACAGUAUGCGUCGUUAGAGCUCAUUUUCACACCACAGUGGAACCGAGUCAGUUUCUCUCCAAAUGGACUUUCGUUAAUGUCCGCGGCUCGUUCCCACUUCUCCUUCUCAAUCAUUUCAUCUCUCUCUCUCUCUCUUGGCUUUGAUAACGAACAGCUGAGAGCCAUUUGCACCUCUUCUUGCUUCCUGUGCUUUCUCACGCAUCUUUUUCAUUAUUUCUUACUCCCUAUUUCUUUCUUCUUCCCUCUUUUGUCUCUAGGGACUGUGCACUGUGACUGCUGCCUUUUUGCACUUCUUCUUUCUGGCCUCUUUCUGCUGGGUACUGACAGAGGCAUGGCAGUCCUACCUGGCUGUGAUUGGCAAGAUGAGGUCCCGCCUCAUUCGCAAGCGUUUCCUGUGCCUGGGCUGGGGUCUUCCAGCCCUUGUGGUCGCUGUAUCUGUGGGUUUUACCCGGGCCAGAGGUUACGGCACGCCAAGUUAGUAAGUAUCACUGAUGCAGCACAGUUUCACAAAGACAACAUUUAUGUUACAUUAAAACAUUGUUCUGGUUCUGUUUUGAGGGUUACAGUAUGUCAAGACUCAGUCAAGUCUUUGGAUGUUAAAAUAAAUACAGAAGUACCUACAGUACAUCAAAAAUACAUUAAGAUAUGUACAUGUUACAGUAAUUUUGUAUGAUCACAGAGUACUUGGUAAAAUGGGUAGUGGGACAUAUUGCAUUGUAAGUCGCAUUCAGAAAUAAUGUAAAAUACUGGUAAAUAAAACAAAACAACCACUAUAAAAAUGCA